rnacentral:rRNA from 1 species
UCCAGACUCCUACGGGAGGCAGCAGUGAGGAAUAUUGGUCAAUGGGCGAGAGCCUGAACCAGCCAAGUCGCGUGAAGGAUGACGGCCCUACGGGUUGUAAACUUCUUUUGUCAGGGAGCAAUUGAGUCCACGUGUGGGCUUAGCGAGAGUACCUGAAGAAAAAGCAUCGGCUAACUCCGUGCCAGCAGCCGCGGUAAUACGUAUGGAGCAAGCGUUAUCCGGAUUUACUGGGUGUAAAGGGAGCGCAGACGGCAGGGCAAGUCUGAUGUGAAAGUCCGGGGCUCAACCCCGGGACUGCAUUGGAAACUGUCCGGCUAGAGUGCAGGAGAGGUAAGUGGAAUUCCUAGUGUAGCGGUGAAAUGCGUAGAUAUUAGGAGGAACACCAGUGGCGAAGGCGGCUUACUGGACUGUAACUGACGUUGAGGCUCGAAAGCGUGGGGAGCAAACAGGAUUAGAUACCCUGGUAC